rnacentral:rRNA from 1 species
UACGUAGGGUGCGAGCGUAAUCGGAAUUACUGGGCGUAAAGCGUGCGCAGGCGGUUUUGUAAGACAGGCGUGAAAUCCCCGAGCUCAACUUGGGAAUUGCGCUUGUGACUGCAAGGCUAGAGUGUGUCAGAGGGGGGUAGAAUUCCACGUGUAGCAGUGAAAUGCGUAGAGAUGUGGAGGAAUACCGAUGGCGAAGGCAGCCCCCUGGGACAUGACUGACGCUCAUGCACGAAAGCGUGGGGAGCAAACAGG